CGUAAAACAAUCUUAUCCUAAAGUAAAUGCUAAUAAAAUGACGUUUUUCUUUUGCAAGGAGAGUCUUUAAUAAGUCGAAACUAGUGAUAAGGUUUGCCAAACACUAGAUAAGCACUUUUGUAAAAAGAUUCUUUCAAUGAACAUAUCAAUCAUGAUUUGAUUUUUCAGACAAGAAGUCGUAAACGCAUUCGAACACAUAUAUCUGCAUUCGAGGUUGCUGACUAUUUUUGUAAAAAAAUAUAGAUGAACAAAUUUAGUAUUUCAAUUGUUCAUUACUAACUUACUUCAUUAAUAUUCAAUUAUUGACUCGUUUUGUUCUUAAUUUCAGGAGAAUUUUCAAACUUGUAGAAUAAUCUCACAACAUCAGAAGCAAAACUUUUGGCGAGUUUUUAAACAGGUAUAUUCGAAUGACUGUCAGAAAAAAGAAAAUCGUCGAAAUCAAGAUAAUCAAUUGUAGAUUUAUUCUUCCUAACAUAACGGCACUAUUGAAUGUCGUCUACUUUUGCUGAAAAAUUUACCUAAAAAAAAAGGCUCGUAAAACAGUCUUAUCCAAAAGCAAAUGCUAAUAAAGUGAUGUUUUUUUCCUUUUCAAGGAGAGGUUUUAAACAGUCGAAACUAGUUACAAGGUAUACACCAAAAUAAAUAAGCACUUUUAUGAAAAGAUGCUUUCAAUAAACAUAACAAUGGAAACUUCAUAUUUCAGACAAUUGGUCGUAAACGCAUGCGAACGUAUAUAUCUGCAUUCGAGGUUACUGAUAAUUUUUUGGUAAAAAAAUAUAAAUGAACUGAUACAAAGUUAGUGUAUACUGUUUUCCAUUGUAUAAUGAUUACUAUCUGCAUUGAUAUUCAAUUAUUGACUUUUUUUUCUAUUAUUAAUUUCAGUAGAAUUUCCAAACUUAUGGAAUACCCUUACAACAUAAGAAUCAAAACUUUUGGCGACUUUUAUUGUUUGUUUUAUAGAGAUUAACAUAAUAACACAAUGUUCACUGCUGUGCCUCUAUUUUUAACAUUUUUACUUAUUAUGUCUGUCUUGUUUUUGUUAAAUUUUUUAUAAGACAAUCAUACAAGUGAGAGGUUUACCUAGCUUUAAAACCAGGUUUAAUCCACCAGUUUUUAUAAAAGAAAAUGCAUGUACUAAGUCAUGAUUAUGACAGUUGAUGUUGAUUGGUUUGAUAUGGUCAUUAUUUUCUAUUGUACUUUGAUUACUAUCUUCAUUAAUAUGCAAUCUUUCACUAUUUCCUAUUAUUAAUUUCAGGAGCAUUUCCAAACUUAUGGAAUGAUCUAACAACAUCAGGGUCAAAACAUUUGGAGACAUUUACAAAAGGUUUAUUCGAAUGACUGUUAGAAUAAACUAUACAUCAAUAUCAAGAUAAUCAACUGUACAUUUAUUCUACCUAAUAUAACGGCACUAUUGAAUGUAGUUCACUAUUGCUAAAAAAAAUAUGAAAAAAGUAGGCACGUAAAAUUGUCUUUCCUAUAAACAAUUCUGAAUAAAAUGACGUUUUCUUUUGCAAGGAGAGUCUAUAAAAAGUUGAAACUAGAGGAAAAGUAUGCACAAAAAUAUAUAAGCACGGUUAUAACAAAAUUAUUUCAAUGAACAUAACAAUGGUAGGGUCAUUUUUCAGACAAUUAGUCUUAAACGCAUUCGAAA
rnacentral:lncRNA from 1 species